rnacentral:ncRNA from 1 species
GAAAAAUCAAUGAAAAAGAGAGUAGUUAUCGAGGAUCUUUUAGCGAGUCGGGGGCGGUGUGAGCCUGAUACAGAUCAGAUAAUGAAGCGCACUUUUGAGAUGCAAACCCGAAACCGAGUAGGGUACGCCGGAGAAUGCUCCGUUACAAAGGGAAAGUUGGUUCUUUUUGAACAAUUAGAGUGGUACCGCGGGAUAUUCAAACUCUCGUCUCUUUA